UACCUGGUUGAUCGUGCCAGUAGUCAUAUUCUUGUCUCAAAGAUUAAGCCAUGCAUGUGUAAGUAUGAACGAAUUCAGAUUGUGAAACUGUGUAUGGCUCAUUAAAUCAGUUAUAGUUUGUUUGAUUGUAACUACUACUCGGAUAACUGUAGUGAUUCUAGAGCUAAUACGUCCCCGACUUCUGGAAGGGAUGCAUUUAUUAGAUAAGAGGUCGAGGUGGGCUCUGCCCGUUGCUCUGAUGAUUCAUGAUAACUCGACGGAUCGCAUGGCCUUAGUGCUGGCGACGCAUCAUUCAAAUUUCUGCCCUAUCAACUUUUGAUGGUAGGAUAGUGGCCUACCACGGUGGUAACGGGUGACAGAGAAUUAGGGUUUGAUUCCGGUGAGGGAGCCUGAGAAACGGCUACCACAUCCAAGGAAGGCAGCAGGCGCACAAAUUAGCCAAUCCUGACAUGGGGAGGUAGUGACAAUAAAUAACAAUACCGGGCUCUUUGAGUCUAGUAAUUGGAAUGAGUACAAUCUAAAUCCCUUAACGAGGAUCCAUUGGAGGGCAAGUAUGGUGCCAGAAGCUGCGGUAAUUCCAGCUCCAAUAGCGUAUAUUUAAGUUGUUGCAGUUAAAAAGCUCGUAGUUGAACCUUGGGAUGGGUCGCCCGUUCCACCUUCGGUGAGCACCGGUUGUAAGACCCGAUCCCGGCCGCCUAGGCCGCGGUCGAUGCCUCACGUCGCUCGGUCCACUUCCUGGCCGAACCUCUUAAUUUCUGCCCUUUAUUUAUAAUAUCGCCUAAAGGCGAGGGCUAACUUAGACCAUAGCUAAAGACUUACCUAGUCAUUAAUAGCCUAGAUCCUUUCAACAGAUACGCAGCGGAAUAUUCUCUAGUUAACCAUUGAUCUAAAACCAAUCUAACACUUGUCUGGUCGAAUCACCUUAGCCUUGGUCAGUUUACUCAACUACCAAUUAGGUUAAAGGUCAAUCCUAAACCCAAACCAAGCCAUACGAUUCUGAGCUUCCAUUCCCCUAAACCAUUCUAUCUAGAUCUACAUAAGUAAAUGCUAGAUCAUACCUUUGCCACAUCUAUGGAGCUUAUUAGCUCAUCGGUCCUCCAUUGACUCGAAUUGCUCUUGCUUAACAACUGAACCAUGAUCACUCAAUGAUCUUACUUAUGGUCCUUAUCUUGACUCCUGCGUGAAACAGCUCCCCUAGGUACUUAGUCAUUCAACCAACCAUCCCCACAGACAUAAGUAACCUUUGAGAAGUCUUUGAAAGGAUAAGGGUUUGCAUCUGGCCUUUCUCGGCUCAUGCACAAUCCAAAAUCCUUCUGCCUUAUAGGAAAUAGUACCAAGUCCAUCUUCUGGACUGACAAAGCUCAUUAGAUCCUAAGUCAAUUAACCAACUAUCCUCACAUGACUUGGAACUGAUGAGUCAUCUUCUGGCCUGACCGGCCUUGGAACUUAACCCAGACAACAUAUAUGAUUUGUUCAUACCAACCGAUGCAUUCAGUAAUCAGGUUAGGACCGACACCUUAAACCAUCAUUCAGAGGUCAGGUCU
rnacentral:ncRNA from 1 species